GAUAGCUAUUUUUACAUUUUAUUAUUGAAAAGGUUAAAGUUGUUCGAUCCUUGAACAAGAUGGCGUAGAAGUGUCAGUUUCAAAUUUCAGGGUCUAAGUGAGUAUUUAAUCCCCUAACUUAUUUACUUGGAUUAACCUAUCUUGUUUCUUUUCUUCUUCUUUUUGAUCCCAUACAAAUAACAAUCUCGUCGCCGCUGCUGUCCCCGCCGUCCGCCGUCCUCCUUGGUGUUGGUGGAUUACUGCCGGCGUUCAAUUUUUCUCUAAUUUGGUGAAGAUGGCUUCACUGGAAGAAAGUUUGCAGAGGUUCAAGAAGCAGCAGAAGAAGUGCCAAUCUACACUUAGAGUAUAGCUACCCUCGAUCUCCUAUUUUCUUUUAGCAAUUUCAUAUUUUUUUCUUGAAUCUUCAUCUUUGUAAUGGCUUUUGCAGAGUUUUGUCAUUGUUUACCUUGUUUUGCUUAUGUGCAUCUUGUAUCCAUGUAUAUACCUUUAUCAACUUAGAAGAAAUGUGUGAAUAUGAGUAUUGCGUUAAAAUUGGAUCUCGGUGAUGUCACUUUGAGGGUAAGUUGUAUUUUCUAUCUUUUCUGCUUGCAGAGUGAAAUUUCAGGGUCAAGUUAAUUUCUCAUGCCUACGUUUAAUCUCAUGAUAUAUGGCAUAUGCAACUCCUAUAUGUCUGAAGAAAUUCUUGUACGUAUCACUUCAACAUUCCUUCUUAAAGACUUGCAACUUUCUUUGCUUAGCAAAUAAUUCCCUUCUUUAUCGCCUCAUUUGUUCCUUCAUCUUUUCAUUCUUGUGUGUGGAGGUGGAUUUGGGGUUGAUAGGGUUGCAGGAUUUUCCAUUUGGACACCUAUGCCCUUGGAAGAUUGUAGGUUUGAGGUGUUUAGCUGGGUAAUAAGUACUUUAAGUCCUUGUUUGUCAAAAAGCAAAAAGAAAAAAGUUGUUUAGAUAUCCUGCAAUCCCAUUCUCUGAAGAUUGGGCUUCUUAAAAUCUGUCUGCUGGACUUUCAUGUACUAGUUUGAUUUAUAGAUCAGCAAGAAUGGUGCUGCUCUCUUCAGUUUAUGCUUGAGAAUGUGAUAAUCCUUAAUCUCUGGCAGUAUGACUGGUGCCUGUGCCGUCUACUUGUUAAGAUAAGAAACUAAUUGCAUGAUAUGUGCUUUUGUCUGGAUAGACAGUAUUAUAUGGCUUUUGAAUCAGUAGUAUUAGGGUAACUGAGCCCUAAUGGUUGAUAGGAAGCCCCAUGUCUGUGGAUUGGCAGUUUGACACUUUUGGGCUUAGCAGAAAGUAGAGCCAUAUUCCCCAAUGAAGGGUGGCUAGUUGUGAUGCAGCGGCUUAAGAUGCUCAGUAUCCUUUUACUUCAGUUGCAGUCGUUCCGUUCCAAUAUCUUCUAACACAAGUUAAGGGUUCCUAAAACUACGAAUUCUAUUCCUACACGUAAUACAACUCUCUAACCAAACUAAAAGGGCUCCCGUCAAAAAUUGGACGUAAUGUAACUUACCAACAACUGUAAGGUAUUUGCUUCCACUAUGUUCUAUUCUUCGUUUCCGCAUGAAUUCCAAGAGAUUGUCGGUCUUUGGAAAUAACAUUCUUCCAUGUAAUUUUAGGUCAACCCCAUUUUCAUGGUAUCACACUUGCGAAUAGGUGCAGUCACGUAGGACAUGAUCAAACCAUCUUGGACGACCUUUCUCUCUUUUUGUUCUCUUCUUGUGCUAUUUGCACUUUCUGACAGAUGAUUUUGUCUAAUCUUGUAUUGUCACACUUCUUUUAUUUUUCUUUUUUAAAUAUUCACAUUUCUAUGUCAUUCAUCUUGUGGAUAUAGUGGCCUUAGUGCCCUAGCAUUCAUUCUCAUAAUUUUGGUUCUGCAACCGUCCUAUUGAACUUACCUUUCACUUUAAUAGGUAUCCUCUUAUUGUAGUAUCUCGUAGCACUCCAUUUCAGCUUUCUAUUAUAUCUGUCUCAUCUCGAUACUGACUUCAAUUAAUUGCUUGCGACCUGAUCAGCUACUCUAGUUUAAGCUCAUUCUCCUUGGCUGUAAUUUUAUGGAGAACUAAAUACCUUCUUCUGAUUGCUACUGGAGUAACUAGGUUCAUUGGAACUUCUUUGAUUGAUGGUGUAGGUUGGUUUUGUAUUACCUUAUUGAUAGGGAUGGAAAUGAGAUAAUAUCCACAAAGCUGGAACUGAUCAGAUAUAAUUUGAAACAGCUGAAAGAAGCCAUUUGUGGAAAGGACAAUGAAGUAAUAUCUUGACUAUGGUCGAAGCUAUAGCCACUAAUCCGCAGGCUUAUGAUGGCUUCCAUCUGUCUUGCUGGAAUCUGGUGAUGGGUGAUAUAUGAAGCUGUCUGAAUGCACUUCUUUUUGGGGGGGAGGGCAGGGCAGGCAAAUGCUGUUUCUGUAGAAGAAUGAAUUUCAUCUCAGUCUCAGGAAGAGCACAUCUAUGUCAGAUGAAGAUAUAGACCCAUUAGGCUUGUGGAUGUUAGAACUAUGACUAGGUCUAUCUUCGAAGAUUUGUGAGGUGCUCAUUUUGCCAUUUCUUUUGGACAAAUUGCUCACACUGGAGGCAGUAGUUUGUUUGCUUAUAAUCUUGUCAAAUAUCCCAAACAUGAUCUUAAAAAUAAAGAUCAACUACUAGUCCUGAUAUGAGAAUUUCCUGAGGGUAUUGCCGCGAUGUAUAAUUGCAUCUCUACUUUGAUGUACUGAUGUAGACAGGUGUAGGCUCCCAAAGUUGCUAUACCGAGGAAUUGAAUUGCCACUUGACAUGCUUGAUAUUGAGAAGGAUCUCCAGAAGAAUAAAAUGAAGACCUGCCACCACAAACACUGCAAAGAGAAGAGCUAUGGCACAAGUUCAUGGCAUUGCCUCUAAGCCUAAAGCAAGAAGAAGAAGCAUGAGAUUAGCAAUAGGGCUAAGCUUACAAACGCCCACCUUCUAGAACUUAAAGUUUUAGAUUUAUUUUUGGUUCAGAAAUGUUCCAUUAUCGGAAAAGGGGCCGCAGCAUUUCAUCAUCUCAAACGGAGUAAUAGUCCCCGUUUUGUACAAGAGAAGCAAAGGCUUUCCAGAUUCUGAUAUCAGGUGGUUUACCCUCCCGAGAAUAGGCCAAUGUUGCAACCCCACUGAGCACAGAAAACUCCGAAUAAAUGGCAAACAUUUGUAUUGCUACUCCAUAUUACCAAGACUAGUAUGGAUCAGUGCUCCUCAAAACAAGUAACAUUAGUAUGGAUCAGUGCUAGGUUUUUGGCUUUCUAUAUUUGGAGGUUAGUGUUUUUAUCCUUAUGCAUUGAAGUUUUUACUUGGUGCUAAAGGUUUGCCAUGUGACCAGGAGGUCACGAGUUCAAGCCGUGGAAACAGCCUCUUGCAGAAAUGUAGGGUAAGGCUGCGUACAAUAGUCCCUCGUGGUCCGACCCUUCCCCGGAUCCCGUGCAUAGCAGGAGCUUAAUGCACCGAGCUGUCCUUUUUUUUUUAAAGGUUUGCCACUACGUGUAAUUGUGUAGGUUUUUGGACGUUCAACACCAUUGCUAUGUAUAUGUAUAUUAUUUUCAUGAGGUUCAAUAAGUUAAAAUUUCAAGGA